rnacentral:misc_RNA from 1 species
AACGCACCUUGCGCCCUGUGGUAUUCCGCAGGGCAUGCCCGUUUGAGUGUCAUUAAAUCAUCAACUCUAAACACCUUGUGUGUCUAGUGCUUGGUCUUGAGGGUCUUGCAGGCGUCUAGACGUCUGCUCCCUUUAAAUCUAUUAGCGAGACUUCCCUUUGCUGACCGUCUCUUGGCGUGAUAGUUAUCUACGUCGAUAUGAGCGGUUCUCGUUGGGCUUGCUUCUAAUCGUCUUCGGACAGCCGAUUUGGGUGCAUAUAUGCGCUUCAUUUCAAACCUUUUUGACCUCAAAUCGGGUAGGACUACCCGCUGAACUUAA